rnacentral:rRNA from 1 species
GGUCCCAGGCCCUACGGGGCGCAGCAGUCGCGCAAACUUUGCAAUAAGCCGAAAGCUUGACAGGGCCAUCCCCGAGUGCCGUCCGCUGAGGAUGGCUUUUCCCCAGUAUAGAUAGCUGGGGGAAUAAGGAGAGGGCAAGUCUGGUGUCAGCCGCCGCGGUAAUACCAGCUCUCCGAGUGGUGUGGAUGUUUAUUGGGCCUGAAGCAUUCGUAGCCGGCUGGGUAAGUCCUCUGUUAAAUCCAGCGAUUUAAUCGUUGGGCUGCGGGGGGUACUGCCCGGCUUGGGGGCGAGAGAGGCCGACGGUACUCUCAGGGUAGGGGUGAAAUCCUAUAAUCCUGGGAAGACCACCAGUGGCGAAGGCUGUCGGCUAGAACGCGCCCGACGGUGAGGGAUGAAAGCUGGGGGAGCGAACCGGAUUAGAUACCCGGGUAGUCCUAGCUGUAAACGAUGCAGGCUAGGUGUCAGGGCGGCUACGUGCCGCUCUAGUGCCGCAGGGAAGCUGUUAAGCCUGCCGCCUGGGGAGUACGGCCGCAAGGCUGAAACUUAAAGGAAUUGGCGGGGGAGCACCACAAGGGGUGAAGCUUGCGGUUUAAUUGGAGUCAACGCCGGAAAUCUCACCGGGGGCGACAGCAGA